rnacentral:lncRNA from 1 species
AUAAAAUCUAAUGAUUUCUUAUAGGAAGGCUAGGCUUGGUGGGUACAAGUAAGAAAGCCAAGCAGAGAGAAGUCUGGACUUUGCCUUCUCCACUUCCUUGGAAGACAGGCUGCUCAUCCCAUUGUGGUGCCUCGGCUGGUGUAUGUUUUCUGCCUAGGCUUAACGGACAGCACCAGGAGGUAGGGACUGACACUACCCAUGUUUUACAGUGGAAGAACCUGAGGCUUAAAGAGUCCUUGCAGCUCUGUAUGCUGAUUAUUUG